rnacentral:rRNA from 1 species
AAUACGUAGGGCGCGAGCGUUAUCCGGAAUUAUUGGGCGUAAAGAGCUCGUAGGCGGUUUGUCACGUCUGCUGUGAAAGCCCGAGGCUCAACCUCGGGUGUGCAGUGGGUACGGGCAGACUAGAGUGCAGUAGGGGAGACUGGAAUUCCUGGUGUAGCGGUGAAAUGCGCAGAUAUCAGGAGGAACACCGAUGGCGAAGGCAGGUCUCUGGGCUGCUACUGACGCUGAGGAGCGAAAGCAUGGGGAGCGAACAGGAUUAGAUACCCUGGUAGUCCAUGCCGUAAACGUUGGGCACUAGGUGUGGGGGACAUUCCACGUUUUCCGCGCCGUAGCUAACGCAUUAAGUGCCCCGCCUGGGGAGUACGGCCGCAAGGCUAAAACUCAAAGGAAUUGACGGGGGCCCGCACAAGCGGCGGAGCAUGCGGAUUAAUUCGAUGCAACGCGAAGAACCUUACCAAGGCUUGACAUGGACCGGAUCGCUGCAGAGAUGCAGUUUCCCUUCGGGGUCGGUUCACAGGUGGUGCAUGGUUGUCGUCAGCUCGUGUCGUGAGAUGU